ACCCGAUCAUAUGAUCGAACACCGAGAAUCGAGAAUCACGAGACAGUUCGCGGGCACUGUUGGUGUACUUGCAGGGCAGACAGUCGAAGCUGCCGCGAUCGGUAGAAUGCAUUCGUGAGCUGCCAUUCGUCUUUUCGGCACAUUUCACCUACAGCAAUCGGUUGGACAGGUUCUCGAGUGAGCUAAGUUUAUCGACGUGGGCAGAUAGCACGAAUCAUCCUCAUCUGUGACGACCAGUGACACACCAGUGUAUUUAAGGACUUAAACGGAACUUUUUUUACUCUCAAAAUGGUGCUGGAUUUAAACUUCUCCCGUUACGACAACACGACGCCGUUCGGUUUCAAGCUCGUCGGUGGUGCUGAUUUCGAUGUGCCUUUGACGGUGGUUAAAAUCUUACCCGGAAGCAUCGCCGAAGAUGUCGGCAUGCACAUCGGGGACGUGGUGAUGCGCAUCAAUGACAUACCGACGGGCAACAUGUCCUAUUACGAUGCACACCAGCUGUUGGCCUGUGCCGGCAACCAGUUCGUGCUCGGAAUCUUGAGGGCACGCGAGGUAACGCCGUCCCAACGUCUCAUCAAGGAGAAAACACCGUCCGGUGAGGUGGAGUACAUUAACACCUCGCCAAAACCGUUCUGGACGCCAAACGUAGGCAGUAGCCCCUGUCCGCUGAGCCAAUCGAAGGAGGAACGACAGCUCGACGAACAGAUCCCCGAGGUGCCGAUCACCGACGAGCAGAUUGCCGAGGUCCUCUCGGGUGAGGCCGAAGUGCUCAAGCAGCACAACGUGAUCGGCGUGAACUUUAACAAGAUGAUCCCCAAGGCGGGAGUGUUCAAGCAGAGCGAAGUGUUCAAGACGCUGAACAGCGAGCUGGUGCAGAGCGAGGAGGAGGACAAGAAGUGGACCACCUUCCUGCAGAAGCCGCAGCGACCGCCGCCGAAGACGCCCGAGGAGCGGAAGCUCGAACGGAACCCGCCGACCGAGCGCUACCAGGUACGAAUUGUGAAGCAACCGAAACCGAAAAUUGCCCCCGACUACAAGCCACCCAAAUCACCGGAACCCGAGCCGGAACCGGAACCGAUACCGAUGUACGACGAGUACCUGAACGAACGCCAGGAGGUGGAGGUGGAAACGAUCAAGACGCUCGCGGAGGAGCCGGUGAUCGUGGUGGGCGAACCGAACACAGGUAACCCCGAACAACAACUUCCUGGCCCCCGUCCCUGUUGUCCCUACACCUGCUCCGAUGGCGCUCACUGCGGUGAAGAGGAGAUGGACACGAACGCUAAUGGCAAUUCCACUGUAGGUGAUGGUAGUGCCGAUCCGGCCGCAACCGGCAGCCCGAGCGAGGAGGAACCGACCGAGGAGUUCCGCGAACAGCUGCAGAAUGUGCAAAAGCAGCUGGAAGCGUUGUCCGCGUUGCCGAACACGAUCCAGGCCACGAUAGCCGCCCUGACCGAACAGCUAGCCGCGCUGGCAGCACCGAAACGGAAAUCCAAGAGUAUCUCACCCCGACCGGAAGAAGCGGAUCCAAAUGUGGGUGAGGGCACCGAACAGUCGGCGGCACCGGACGGCAUCGUGCCCGAAGUGUCCGAGACGUUCGAGGUGACCGAGUUUAGCAGGGCGGACAGCAGCGGUGCCGAUCAGUCCUCAUCGGUUGACGAAGGCGAACACAUCCAGUACACAGAGGAAGAGCUCGAGCAGCUAGAGAAAAGGAUGAAGGAGCACGACAUUGAGUGGACCAACCAGAACGAUAAGAAGCCAAAGUACCAAACGAUCGAGUGGGCCAUCGUGUCCCAACGCUAUCGAAUAUAUGUGGACGAGGAGGAAGAAAUUGAGUACGUUACAGUGCCGCUGCGCAUCUCACAGGACCUAGUGGCCUGCGGAGUGGAAGCAUCGGAAGCAAUAGCAGCCACCGAAGCUCAGCCGGUGCUAGCUUAACGUACCACUUGUCACUGCGACCCACCAACCCUACUCUACCUACCUACCACACCUCAACCAAUAUAUACACUCCGAAAGACGACCCGAAUAGAAACCGGCAGAUAGCGGACUGCUGUCACGCGCAGCCACUCUGCGCAACACGAGCCUGGUCACACAUACGCUGUAUGACAGUAUAUCUUCCAGCAUUACCUAUAUGCCCCACGAAACACGUGCAAUACUAAUAGCAAUAAAUGUACUACGCGCUAAAACUUCGUUAACCAAUGCCGAGGAUGAUGAUGGGUGGCUUCGCUAGUCGUCUGCGGGACUUGUAGUGAAGUGAAGCGCCAAGGAUUCGCCGGUCGUUUUUGUGUUUGUACAUCUGUUCGUCGGUGUGUUCUAAUCGUUCUCUAUCUCUCUUUUACUACUGCUUUUCUCCACCCGUUCGAUGAUCUUGUGUGAUCUUGGCGCCUUUUCUCCUCCCGCUCUUGUUUUUGUGUGUGUGUCCCGUUUACUUUGUCCCGUUGGUUGGACGUAUGCUACACACUUCGGCAGGAUUCUGACAGCUCCAGCCAACACAAUGCCAGCGGUGAUGUGCGCACCGCCGUCCAGAACGAGCUGAAGCUGCAGGUGGUGAAGAAGAAGAAGAAGGCGGUCAGCGCAUUCGGACCGCUGACACCGCAGGAGCGUCCCAUCUUUCUGCCCGGCGGCCGGAAAUGGCGCACGGCCAAGGACGCAUUCAACGAGCAGUUCAUCGCGGAAGUGAUCAGCUCGCAGGCGGAACUGAUCCAGGGCACCACGCUCGGGGUAAACUUCCUCAAGUACCAGAAACCCGAGAAGGACCUCAGCUUCAUCAAGAACAGCGACGUCUACAAGCUGGUACACGAUAUGGAUCCCCCCAAGAGUGGCAUCGAGCUGCGCCCGGAGAUGGUAGUAGCCGAAGAAGAUGUGCGAAAGGUAAUGAAAGACGAAACCAUUUUCCAGCCUCGCAAGUCGAAGGUUUUCCUCUAUCAAAAUUGAUCCGUACCGUACCUACCCAACACCAACCUCCAACCCCUCCUACCUCUCCCCGUGUGCUUUCCGGCUUCCCUAUCGUACUUGAUGACUUCCGCCUGGCUAAUGUGUACCGACUGUUGUUGGGAUUGAUUUCGGCACUGUUACUGACCUUUUGCAAACAUCUUCUUGCUGCGCACGUUGCCACCCAACGCCACCAACGAACUACGUCUGUCCACGGUAUCGACGCCAACUUCAUUGUACAUCUCACCUGCUCGGACUCGUCAUCGGCACGCAUCAUGCAACUCAUCGGAUCUCAUCAAAAACUGCUAUAUUCGGCCACCCUCCCAAUCUCGCCUAUAUCGUGUCCCGAUCUCUGCUGCAGUGUGCAUCACCCUGCUGAAGAAGCUUCCCCGUGUUCCCUGUGUUAGCCUUCUGUCCCUUGAAUCCUUUUCCCAGACCAAAUGAUGUAUUAUUAAAGCCUCGCUAGCAUCAUGCACCAUUUUAAAAACCAUUAUCCUCCACAGUCGUCAGGGCGCAGCAUAAGGACGAUGCUCCUAUGGCUGCGACAGAACAGGGUCGUUUAGAGCUUUCAUUUUAAAUCCUCUACAUACUAUAGGCGUUUGCUGAUCAGCACGCAACAUUGUUCGCUGUUUUCAUUAUAUCGCGUGAUUGUAUAGCACACCCAUCAGGUUGAAGAGUUAUGCUUCGCUUCACAUUAUUCAAGUAUAUCUAGAGACUGGUAUUUCUAUGUAAAUAAGUACAAUAAAAAUAAAACACCAUUUACCGAUA